GACGAACGCUGGCGGCGUGCCUAAUACAUGCAAGUCGAGCGGAAGUUGGAGAGCUUGCUCUUCAACUUUAGCGGCGGACGGGUGAGUAACACGUGGGCAACCUGCCCUGCAGAUCGGGAUAACUCCGGGAAACCGGUGCUAAUACCGAAUAGUUUUCGCCACCUCCUGGUGGCGUACGGAAAGACGGUUUCGGCUGUCACUGCAGGAUGGGCCCGCGGCGCAUUAGCUAGUUGGUGGGGUAACGGCCCACCAAGGCGACGAUGCGUAGCCGACCUGAGAGGGUGAUCGGCCACACUGGGACUGAGACACGGCCCAGACUCCUACGGGAGGCAGCAGUAGGGGAUCUUCCGCAAUGGACGAAAGUCUGACGGAGCAACGCCGCGUGAGUGACGAAGGUUUUCGGAUCGUAAAACUCUGUUGUGAGGGAAGAACAAGUAUCAACUAACUACUGGUACCUUGACGGUACCUCACCAG
rnacentral:rRNA from 1 species